rnacentral:rRNA from 1 species
GAUGAACGCUAGCGGCAGGCCUAAUACAUGCAAGUCGUACGGCAACACAGUUGCGAGCAAUCGCAACCGGUGGCGAGUGGCGCACGGGUGAGUAACGCGUAUGUAACCUACCCUUCUCCGGGACAUAACUCCGCGAAAGCGGUGCUAAUAUCCCAUACCAACUCAUCAAGACAUCUUCUUGAGUUGAAAGCAGCAAUGCGGUGAAGGAUGGGCAUGCGUCCCAUUAGCUGGUUGGUGAGGUAAUGGCCCACCAAGGCUACGAUGGGUAGGGGUUCUGAGAGGAAGGCCCCCCACACUGGUACUGAGACACGGACCAGACUCCUACGGGAGGCAGCAGUAAGGAAUAUUGGGCAAUGGUCGAAAGACUGACCCAGCCAUGCCGCGUGCAGGAUGAAGGCCCUAUGGGUUGUAAACUGCUUUUCCAGGGAGAGAAACUUACGCACGUGUUGCGUGACUGACGGUACCCUGGGAAUAGCAUCGGCUACU